rnacentral:rRNA from 1 species
UGGGGAAUUUUGGACAAUGGGGGAAACCCUGAUCCAGCCAUCCCGCGUGUGCGUUGAAGGCCUUCGGGUUGUAUAGCACUUUUGGCUGGAAAGAAACGUCAUGGGAUAAUACCCCGUGAAACUGACGGUACCUGCAGAAUAAGCACCGGCUAACUACGUGCCAGCAGCCGCGGUAAUACGUAGGGUGCAAGCGUUAAUCGGAAUUACUGGGCGUAAAGCGUGCGCAGGCGGUUCGGAAAGAAUGAUGUGAAAUCCCAGAGCUCAACUUUGGAACUGCAUUUUUAACUACCGGGCUAGAGUGUGUCAUAGUGAGGUGGAAUUGCGCGUGUUGCAGUGAAAUGCGUAAAUAUGCGAAGGAACACCGAUGGCGAAGGCAGCCUCCUGGGAUAACACUGACGCUCAUGCACGAAAGCAUGGGGAGCAAACAGG